UACAGAGACUGCAAGCGUUAUUCGGAUUCACUGGGCGUAAAGGGUGCGCAGGUGGCCAGGUGUGUGAGGCGUGAAAGCCCGGGGCUUAACCCCGGAAUUGCACCUCAAACUACUUGGCUAGAGCAUUGGAGGAGGGGAGCAGAAUUCAUGGUGUAGCAGUGAAAUGCGUAGAUAUCAUGAGGAAUACCAGAGGCGAAGGCGGCUCCCUGGACAAUUGCUGACACUCAGGCACGAAAGCGUGGGGAGCAAAAGGG
rnacentral:rRNA from 1 species